rnacentral:rRNA from 1 species
UACACACCGCCCGUCACACCAUGGGAGUUGGCUUUACCCGAAGGCGCUGUGCUAACCCGCAAGGGAGGCAGGCGACCACGGUAGGGUCAGCGACUGGGGUG